UACGUAGGUGGCAAGCGUUGUUCGGAAUUACUGGGCGUAAAGCGCGUGUAGGCGGCUCUUCAAGUCAGGCGUGAAAGCCCCGGGCUUAACUGAGGAAGAGCACCCGAAACUGAGUGGCUAGAGUACGAAAGAGGGUCGCGGAAUUCCCGGUGUAGAGGUGAAAUUCGUAGAUAUCGGGAGGAACACCGGUGGCGAAGGCGGCGACCUGGGUCGAUACUGACGCUGAUGCGCGAAAGCGUGGGGAGCAAACAGG
rnacentral:rRNA from 1 species